GAUGAACGCUAGCGGGAGGCCUAACACAUGCAAGCCGAGCGGUAUUGUUUCUUCGGAAAUGAGAGAGCGGCGUACGGGUGCGGAACACGUGUGCAACCUGCCUUUAUCUGGGGGAUAGCCUUUCGAAAGGAAGAUUAAUACUCCAUAAUAUAUUGAACGGCAUCGUUUAAUAUUGAAAGCUCCGGCGGAUAGAGAUGGGCACGCGCAAGAUUAGCUAGUUGGUGAGGUAACGGCUCACCAAGGCGAUGAUCUUUAGGGGGCCUGAGAGGGUGAUCCCCCACACUGGUACUGAGACACGGACCGGACUCCUACGGGAGGCAGCAGUGAGGAAUAUUGGUCAAUGGGUGCAAGCCUGAACCAGCCAUCCCGCGUGAAGGACGACUGCCCUAUGGGUUGUAAACUUCUUUUGUAUAGGGAUAAACCUACCCUCGUGAGGGUAGCUGAAGGUACUAUACGAAUAAGCACCGGCUAACUCCGUGCCAGCAGCCGCGGUAAUACGGAGGGUGCAAGCGUUAUCCGGAUUUAUUGGGUUUAAAGGGUCCGUAGGCGGACUUAUAAGUCAGUGGUGAAAGCCUGUCGCUUAACGAUAGAACUGCCAUUGAUACUGUAAGUCUUGAGUAUAUUUGAGGUAGCUGGAAUAAGUAGUGUAGCGGUGAAAUGCAUAGAUAUUACUUAGAACACCAAUUGCGAAGGCAGGUUACCAAGAUAUAACUGACGCUGAGGGACGAAAGCGUGGGGAGCGAACAGG
rnacentral:rRNA from 1 species